rnacentral:rRNA from 1 species
UACGUAGGGGGGCAAGCGUUUGUCCGGAAUCAUUGGGCGUAAAGAGCGCGUAGGCGGUCCGGUAAGUCGGUUGUGAAAACUGGGGGCUCAACCCUCAGAGGCCGACCGAUACUGUCGGGCUAGAGUCCGGAAGAGGCGAGUGGAAUUCCUGGUGUAGCGGUGAAAUGCGCAGAUAUCAGGAGGAACACCGAUGGCGAAGGCAGAUCUCUGGGCCGUAACUGACGCUGAGGAGCGAAAGCAUGGGGAGCGAACAGG